AUUGAACGCUGGCGGCAGGCUUAACACAUGCAAGUCGAGCGGAGAUGAGGUGCUUGCACCUUAUCUUAGCGGCGGACGGGUGAGUAAUGCUUAGGAAUCUGCCAUUUAGUGGGGGACAACAUUCCGAAAGGAAUGCUAAUACCGCAUACGUCCUACGGGAGAAAGCAGGGGAUCUUCGGACCUUGCGCUAAAUGAUGAGCCUAAGUCGGAUUAGCUAGUUGGUGGGGUAAAGGCCUACCAAGGCGACGAUCUGUAGCGGGUCUGAGAGGAUGGUCCGCCACACUGGGACUGAGACACGGGCCAGACGCCUACGGGAGGUAGCAGGUGGGAAUAUUGGACAAUGGGCGGAAGCCUGAUCCAGCCAUGACGCGUGUGUGAAGAAGGCCUUUUGGUUGUAAAGCACUUUAAGCGAGGAGGAGGCUACUAGUACUAAUACUACUGGAUAGUGGACGUUACUCGCAGAAUAAGCACCGGCUAACUCUGUGCCAGCCGCCGCAGUAAAAC
rnacentral:rRNA from 1 species